rnacentral:rRNA from 1 species
GAUGAACGCUGGCGGCGUGCUUAACACAUGCAAGUCGAACGGAAAGGCCCAGGCUUGCUUGGGUACUCGAGUGGCGAACGGGUGAGUAACACGUGGGUGAUCUGCCCUGCACUUCGGGAUAAGCCUGGGAAACUGGGUCUAAUACCGGAUAGGACCACAUUUUGGAUGGUGUGGUGGAAAGUUUUUCGGUGUGGGAUGAGCUCGCGGCCUAUCAGCUUGUUGGUGGGGUAAUGGCCUACCAAGGCGUCGACGGGUAGCCGGCCUGAGAGGGUGUACGGCCACAUUGGGACUGAGAUACGGCCCAGACUCCUACGGGAGGCAGCAGUGGGGAAUAUUGCACAAUGGGCGCAAGCCUGAUGCAGCGACGCCGCGUGGGGGAUGACGGCCUUCGGGUUGUAAACUCCUUUCGCUAGGGACGAAGCGUUAUGUGACGGUACCUGGAGAAGAAGCACCGGCUAACUACGUG